UAAGUAGGCGCUUUGGCUUACAAAGGUAUUUCUUAAAUAAAUUAUAUAGUUUUUGUCUGAUCGCAAACAAAUUUUUGAGAAUCGUAAAAUCUAUAGUUCGUCUUUAAAAUUCUAAAAUCACGCUUGUUAUUCGAUUGUUGUCGAUUUUCCGGAUGGGAGUGUGCGUGGAAAACAUUUGAAACAAAGGCUCGGAGAUGCCUCCUUCUGUGUGUUACAUACUUUUCAUGGAAUCAUUAUACCGAUUUCAAUCUCCGUCAAAUUUGAUCUUUUUUGGAAUCGGAACCCAGCACAUUCAGAAUAUUAGGCAAUGUGGAUGGCACACAUUAAAAAAUUAAUAGUAACAAUUAAAUUCAAAAUAUACAUGCAUAUUCAAUCUCCGUCAAAUUUGAUCUUUUUUGGAAUCGGAACCCAGCACAUUCAGAAUAUUAGGCAAUGUGGAUGGCAC